CGUUUAGGGGUAAACCUGAGAAACCCGAAAGGUCGAAGGGAGAAAUUCAUUCGCGUUUCGUCGAUGAGGUCGAGUCGUCGUCGAGACGCGGUCGGGUUUCGGUCCGAUCGCGCUCCUUCGAUUCGUCGAGUCGUCGGCGAACGCGUGCACUUUUCUUCUGGUAGGACGUCGCGAUCCGUUGAGUGUCGGUCUACGGUCCGGAGUGGUGUCCGUGCGUGCCUCGGCACGUACGAACCUUCGGUAUCCCGGCCGACUCGCUCGACGGUAUAUUUGUGGUGUUGGACCGCUCCCCGUGAGCGUUCGACUCGCGACAAGCGUAUCAGAUGCGUCGGUGAUCGGACCCGGUGCCGAUCCUGGCCCCUGGUUGCUGUUAGUUGCGAAGCUCUCGAACAGUGUCUAUCUACGCCCAUCUGCGACGCUAUAGCUUUGGGUACUUUCAGGACCCGUCUUGAAACACGGACCAAGGAGUCUAGCAUGUACGCGAGUCAUUGGGAUUUUUAACUAAACCUAAAGGCGUAAUGAAAGUGAAGGUUUUCCUCGUGAAAACUGAGGGAAGACGGGUCGAUCGACAGGUCGGCCCCGCAUUCCCGGGGCGUCUCGUUCUCAUCGCGAGAAGAGGCGCACCUAGAGCGUACACGCUGGGACCCGAAAGAUGGUGAACUAUGCCUGGU
rnacentral:rRNA from 1 species